CCUACGGGUGGCAGCAGUGAGGAAUUUUGGUCAAUGGGCGAAAGCCUGAACCAGCAACGCCGCGUGAAGGAUGAAGGCCCUCGGGUCGUAAACUUCUUUUAGGGGAGAAACGGUAUCCCCUGAAUAAGCCACGGCAAACUACGUGCCAGCAGCCGCGGUAAAACGUAGGUGGCGAGCGUUAUCCGGAUUUACUGGGCGUAAAGCGCUUGUAGGUGGUUUUGUAAGUUGGGCGUGAAAUCUCCGGGCUUAACUUGGAGAGGCCGUCCAAUACUGCGAGGCUAGAGGUUAUUCGAGGAAAGUGGAAUUCCUGGUGUAGUAGUGAAAUGCGUAGAUAUCAGGAGGAACACCCGUGGCGAAGGCGGCUUUCUAGAUUACCUGACACUGAGAAGCGACAGCUAGGGGAGCAAACAGGAUUAGAUACCCUUGUAGUC
rnacentral:rRNA from 1 species